rnacentral:rRNA from 1 species
GACCGUGCAAAGGUAGCAUAAUCAUUUGCCUUAUAAUUGAAGGCUAGUAUGAAUGGUUUGACGAGAAUUAAGCUGUCUCUUUUCAACUAAAUAUAACUUUAUUAAGAGGUGAAGAAGCCUCUAUUUCAUUGAAAGACAAGAAGACCCUAUCGAGCUUUAAAAAAUUUAGUAGAUUUGCCAUAUAUUAAUAAAAAAGUAAAGCAACUAAAGACUUUGGUUGGGGCGACUGAGGAACAAAUAAAGCUUCCUUUAUCUUAAUUAAAACCUACAAGUGUUGAUCCAAUUUAUUUGAUUAAAGAAAUUAGUUACCGUAGGGAUAACAGCAUAAUCUCCUUUGAGAGUUCUCAUCGAAAAGGGGGUUUGUGACCUCGAUGUUGGACCAGAAUAUCCAGAAGAUGCAGCCGUCUUCAAUGGUUGGUCUGUUCGACCAUUAAA